AACCUGACGCAGCGACGCGCGUGGAGGAUGAAGGUUUUCGGAUCGUAAACUCCUGUCAGAAGGGAAGAAACCUGCAAAAAGUAAUAUGUUUUGCAGCUGACGGUACCUUCAGAGGAAGCACCGGCUAAUUCCGUGCCAGCAGCCGCGGUAAUACGGAAGGUGCAAGCGUUAAUCGGAAUCACUGGGCGUAAAGCGCUCGUAGGUGGCUUUGUAAGUCAGGUGUGAAAGCCCCGGCUCAACCGUGGAAUUGCACUUGAUACUGCAUUGCUUGAGUUCGGGAGAGGGUAGUGGAAUUCCAGGUGUAGGAGUGAAAUCCGUAGAGAUCUGGAGGAACACCAGUGGCGAAGGCGACUACCUGGACCGAUACUGACACUGAGGAGCGAAAGCGUGGGGAGCAAACAGGAUUAGAUACCCUGGUAGUCCACGCUGUACAUCGAUGGAUACUAGGUGUCGGGGGCUUGACUUCGGUGCCGUAGCUAACGCGUUAAGUAUCCCGCUGGAGUACGUCGCAA
rnacentral:rRNA from 1 species